rnacentral:rRNA from 1 species
UGGAGGAAAGCAGGGGAUCGUAAGACCUUGCGCUUUUGGAGCGGCCGAUGUCUGAUUAGCUAGUUGGUGGGGUAAUGGCCUACCAAAGCUACGAUCAGUAGUUGGUCUGAGAGGACGACCAGCCACACUGGGACUGAGACACGGCCCAGACUCCUACGGGAGGCAGCAGUGGGGAAUUUUGGACAAUGGGCGCAAGCCUGAUCCAGCCAUGCCGCGUGAGUGAAGAAGGCCUUCGGGUUGUAAAGCUCUUUCAGUCGAGAAGAGAAGGUUGCGACUAAUAAUCGCAAUUCAUGACGGUACCGGAAGAAGAAGCACCGGCUAACUACGUGCCAGCAGCCGCGGUAAUACGUAGGGUGCGAGCGUUAAUCGGAAUUACUGGGCGUAAAGGGCGCGCAGGCGGUUUUGUAAGUCAGAUGUGA